rnacentral:rRNA from 1 species
CCUACGGGAGGCAGCAGUGAGGAAUAUUGGUCAAUGGGCGGGAGCCUGAACCAGCCAAGUCGCGUGAGGGAAGACGGUCCUAUGGAUUGUAAACCUCUUUAGGCGGGGAGCAAUGCCGGGCACGCGUGCCCGGAGGGAGAGUACCCGCAGAAUAAGCAUCGGCUAACUCCGUGCCAGCAGCCGCGGUAAUACGGAGGAUGCGAGCGUUAUCCGGAUUUAUGGGGUUUAAAGGGUGCGUAGGCGGAUUUUUAAGUCAGCGGUAAAAUGUCCGGGCUCAACCCGGGCCGGCCGUUGAAACUGGGGAUCUUGAGUGGGCGAGAAGUAUGCGGAAUGCGUGGUGUAGCGGUGAAAUGCAUAGAUAUCACGCAGAUCUCCGAUUGCGAAGGCAGCAUACCGGCGCCCGACUGACGCUGAGGCACGAAAGCGUGGGGAUCGAACAGGAUUAGAUACCCCAGUAGUC